UACGGGGGGGGGGUAAGCGUUGUUCGGAAUUACUGGGCGUAAAGGGCUCGUAGGCGGCCAACUAAGUCAGACGUGAAAUCCCUCAGCUUAACUGGGGAACUGCGUCUGAUACUGGAUGGCUUGGAUUCGGGAGAGGAAUGCGGAAUUCCAGGUGUAGCGGUGAAAAUGCGUAGAUAUCUGGAGGAACACCGGUGGCGAAGGCGGCAUUCUGGACCGACACUGACGCUGAGGCGCGAAAAGCUAGGGGGAGCAAACGGGGG
rnacentral:rRNA from 1 species